CCUACGGGAGGCAGCAGUGAGGGAUAUUGGUCAAUGGGGGAAACCCUGAACCAGCAACGCCGCGUGAGGGAAGACGGUUUUCGGAUUGUAAACCUCUUUCUUCUGGGAAGAUAAUGACGGUACCUGAGGAGGAAGCUCCGGCUAACUACGUGCCAGCAGCCGCGGUAAUACGUAGGGAGCGAGCGUUGUCCGGAUUUACUGGGGGUAAAGGGUGCGUAGGCGGGUAAGCAAGUCAGAAGUGAAAUCCAUGGGCUUAACCCAUGAACUUCUUUUGAAACUGUUUAUCUUGAGUGAAGUAGAGGUAGGCGGAAUUCCGGGUGUAGCGGUGAAAUGCGUAGAGAGCGGGAGGAACACCAGUGGCGAAGGCGGCGUACUGGAGUUUAACUGACGCUGAGGCUCGAAAGCGUGGGUAGCAAACAGGAUUAGAUACCCGAGUAGUC
rnacentral:rRNA from 1 species